rnacentral:rRNA from 1 species
CCCCGUACACAAAAAUGCACAUGCUGUGAGCUCGAUGAGUAGGGCGGGACACGUGGUAUCCUGUCUGAAUAUGGGGGGACCAUCCUCCAAGGCUAAAUACUCCUGACUGACCGAUAGUGAACCAGUACCGUGAGGGAAAGGCGAAAAGAACCCCGGCGAGGGGAGUGAAAAAGAACCUGAAACCGUGUACGUACAAGCAGUGGGAGCACAGAGCAAUCUGUGUGACUGCGUACCUUUUGUAUAAUGGGUCAGCGACUUAUAUUCUGUAGCAAGGUUAACCGAAUAGGGGAGCCGAAGGGAAACCGAGUCUUAACUGGGCGUUAAGUUGCAGGGUAUAGACCCGAAACCCGGUGAUCUAGCCAUGGGCAGGUUGAAGGUUGGGUAACACUAACUGGAGGACCGAACCGACUAAUGUUGAAAAAUUAGCGGAUGACUUGUGGCUGGGGGUGAAAGGCCAAUCAAACCGGGAGAUAGCUGGUUCUCCCCGAAAGCUAUUUAGGUAGCGCCUCGUGAAUUCAUCUCCGGGGGUAGAGCACUGUUUCGGCAAGGGGGUCAUCCCGACUUACCAACCCGAUGCAAACUGCGAAUACCGGAGAAUGUUAUCACGGGAGACACACGGCGGGUGCUAACGUCCGUCGUGAAGAGGGAAACAACCCAGACCGCCAGCUAAGGUCCCAAAGUCAUGGUUAAGUGGGAAACGAUGUGGGAAGGCCCAGACAGCCAGGAUGUUGGCUUAGAAGCAGCCAUCAUUUAAAGAAAGCGUAAUAGCUCACUGGUCGAGUCGGCCUGCGCGGAAGAUGUAACGGGGCUAAACCAUGCACCGAAGCUGCGGCAGCGACACUAUGUGUUGUUGGGUAGGGGAGCGUUCUGUAAGCCUGUGAAGGUGUGCUGUGAGGCAUGCUGGAGGUAUCAGAAGUGCGAAUGCUGACAUAAGUAACGAUAAAGCGGGUGAAAAGCCCGCUCGCCGGAAGACCAAGGGUUCCUGUCCAACGUUAAUCGGGGCAGGGUGAGUCGACCCCUAAGGCGAGGCCGAAAGGCGUAGUCGAUGGGAAACAGGUUAAUAUUCCUGUACUUGGUGUUACUGCGAAGGGGGGACGGAGAAGGCUAUGUUGGCCGGGCGACGGUUGUCCCGGUUUAAGCGUGUAGGCUGGUUUUCCAGGCAAAUCCGGAAAAUCAAGGCUGAGGCGUGAUGACGAGGCACUACGGUGCUGAAGCAACAAAUGCCCUGCUUCCAGGAAAAGCCUCUAAGCAUCAGGUAACAUCAAAUCGUACCCCAAACCGACACAGGUGGUCAGGUAGAGAAUACCAAGGCGCUUGAGAGAACUCGGGUGAAGGAACUAGGCAAAAUGGUGCCGUAACUUCGGGAGAAGGCACGCUGAUAUGUAGGUGAAGCGACUUGCUCGUGGAGCUGAAAUCAGUCGAAGAUACCAGCUGGCUGCAACUGUUUAUUAAAAACACAGCACUGUGCAAACACGAAAGUGGACGUAUACGGUGUGACGCCUGCCCGGUGC